CUUCUUCUCAACGAAAGAAAGGGUCCUAGCCUGGAUCCAAAACAGAGCUAUCAUGGCAAAGCAAUGAACGCAAGAACGGAAGUGGUAAAGAAGAGGGAGGAGAGAGGCGUACCAGGCAGUCUCCAUCAGGUGGCGUUCAUCAUGGUUUGGUCAUUUGAUUCAAGAUCAUCUUUGAGACUGGUCAUCAUCAAGCAGAUGGCCUUCGAUACGAUUCAAUCGAUCAGAUCGGGAGAGGAAAAACAUUCAACAAGAUCGGUCCACGUGGGGCGAAGCGAGGCAUGGCUGGUUAAUCGAAGCGAGGCAGGGCUAUGAUGUAUUCAGUCAGUAAUGGCCUCGCUCCCGUCACAACCAGGCAUCCAGCCAAAAUCCACAGUUUAACAGGGCCAUCACAUGGAUGAUUGGCCGGGAGGAGAACUGCAAAAAGAUAUGUUGCUGCAAAAUCAGUGUUCAGUGUCGGAGUUUGAGAUAGGUCGAUUUCCUGCAGUAGCCUCGGUUGAUCUAUCUUUGGCCUCUGAAUGGCGGUGUGUUCUCUUUUGAGAAAAAUCGGCCUAGAAUGGCGUUGUGUUCUCUUUUGAGAAAAAAAGGGCGUUGUGUACUUGUAUUUUGCAAUUACGACGGCUAUGUCCCUCGAAGCCUGCUGAAAAGAAGUCCUUCUAUGCAUGUGGAUAUUGCUUCGGGCGUUGUCUUGUUCAGUGAGAAGUCCUUCUAUGCAUGUGGAUAUUGCUUCAGAACCUAUGUGAGAAGAGACUCAAGUACACUCUUUUAGUACAACCGCAGCUUCUUCUGGCUUGCUUAUAAAUAUCUGGCUAUGUCUUGCAUUCAAGCUACCCAUAAGUUCUAUGCUGCUGUACCAAUACACAAUUUUUUAGGAUUGACUUUUGGUAACAUCAAUGUAUCAAUUCUUCUAAACCCUUCUAUCUGCUCAUUUUUGAAGCUCCCGUAAUGAAAACUUUUUUCUUCUAAA